rnacentral:rRNA from 1 species
UACGUAGGGUGCAAGCGUUAAUCGGAAUUACUGGGCGUAAAGCGUGCGCAGGCGGCUUUGCAAGACAGAUGUGAAAUCCCCGGGCUUAACCUGGGAACUGCAUUUGUGACUGCAUGGCUGGAGUGCGGCAGAGGGGGAUGGAAUUCCGCGUGUAGCAGUGAAACGCGUAGAGAUGCGGAGGAACACCGAUGGCGAAGGCAGCCCCCUGGGUCGACACUGACGCCUCAGGCACGAAAGCGUGGGGAGCAAACAGG